GGCGAACGCUGGCGGCGUGCUUAACACAUGCAAGUCGAACGGAAAGGCCCUGCUUUUGUGGGGUGCUCGAGUGGCGAACGGGUGAGUAACACGUGAGUAACCUGCCCUUGACUUUGGGAUAACUUCAGGAAACUGGGGCUAAUACCGGAUAGGAGCUCCUGCUGCAUGGUGGGGGUUGGAAAGUUUCGGCGGUUGGGGAUGGACUCGCGGCUUAUCAGCUUGUUGGUGGGGUAGUGGCUUACCAAGGCUUUGACGGGUAGCCGGCCUGAGAGGGUGACCGGCCACAUUGGGACUGAGAUACGGCCCAGACUCCUACGGGAGGCAGCAGUGGGGAAUAUUGCACAAUGGGCGGAAGCCUGAUGCAGCAACGCCGCGUGCGGGAUGACGGCCUUCGGGUUGUAAACCGCUUUCGCCUGUGACGAAGCGUGAGUGACGGUAAUGGGUAAAGAAGCACCGGCUAACUACGUGCCAGCAGCCGCGGUGAUACGUAGGGUGCGAGCGUUGUCCGGAUUUAUUGGGCGUAAAGGGCUCGUAGGUGGUUGAUCGCGUCGGAAGUGUAAUCUUGGGGCUUAACCCUGAGCGUGCUUUCGAUACGGGUUGACUUGAGGAAGGUAGGGGAGAAUGGAAUUCCUGGUGGAGCGGUGGAAUGCGCAGAUAUCAGGAGGAACACCAGUGGCGAAGGCGGUUCUCUGGGCCUUUCCUGACGCUGAGGAGCGAAAGCGUGGGGAGCGAACAGGCUUAGAUACCCUGGUAGUCCACGCUGUAAACGGUGGGUACUAGGUGUGGGGUCCAUUCCACGGGUUCCGUGCCGUAGCUAACGCUUUAAGUACCCCGCCUGGGGAGUACGGCCGCAAGGCUAAAACUCAAAGGAAUUGACGGGGCCCCGCACAAGCGGCGGAGCAUGCGGAUUAAUUCGAUGCAACGCGUAGAACCUUACCUGGGUUUGACAUGGAUCGGGAGCGCUCAGAGAUGGGUGUGCCUCUUUUGGGGUCGGUUCACAGGUGGUGCAUGGCUGUCGUCAGCUCGUGUCGUGAGAUGUUGGGUUAAGUCCCGCAACGAGCGCAACCCUUGUUCACUGUUGCCAGCACGUUAUGGUGGGGACUCAGUGGAGACCGCCGGGGUCAACUCGGAGGAAGGUGGGGAUGACGUCAAGUCAUCAUGCCCCUUAUGUCCAGGGCUUCACGCAUGCUACAAUGGCUGGUACAGAGAGUGGCGAGCCUGUGAGGGUGAGCGAAUCUCGGAAAGCCGGUCUCAGUUCGGAUUGGGGUCUGCAACUCGACCUCAUGAAGUCGGAGUCGCUAGUUAUCGCAGAUCAGCAACGCUGCGGUGAAUACGUUCCUGGGGCU
rnacentral:rRNA from 1 species